UACAAAGGAAUUGACGGGACCCGCACAAGCGGUGGAUGAUGUGGUUUAAUUCGAUGCAACGCGAAAACCUUACCCACCUUUGACAUGUACGGAACCUUUAGAGAUAGAGGGGUGCUCGAAAGAGAGCCGUAACACAGGUGCUGCAUGGCUGUCGUCAGCUCGUGUCGUGAGAUGUUGGGUUAAGUCCCGCAACGAGCGCAACCCUUGUCAUUAGUUGCUACAUUCAGUUGGGCACUCUAAUGAGACUGCCGGUGACAAGCCGGAGGAAGGUGGGGAUGACGUCAAGUCCUCAUGGCCCUUAUAGGUGGGGCUACACACGUCAUACAAUGGCUGGUACAAAGGGUUGCCAACCCGCGAGGGGGAGCCAAUCCCAUAAAGCCAGUCGUAGUCCGGAUCGUAGUCUGCAACUCGACUACGUGAAGUCGGAAUCGCUAGUAAUCGUGGAUCAGAAUGUCACGGUGAAUACGUUCCCGGGUCUU
rnacentral:rRNA from 1 species